GCUGGGUGCGGUGGUGCACGCCUGUAACCCCAGAAACUUGGGAGGCUGGGGUAGGAGGAUUAUGAGUUCAAAGCCACCCUCAGCAAUGGUGAGGCACUAAGCAACUCAGUGAGACCCUAUCUCUA
rnacentral:sRNA from 1 species